UUGGAGGGCAAGUCUGGUGCCAGCAGCCGCGGUAAUUCCAGCUCCAAUAGCGUAUAUUAAAGUUGUUGCAGUUAAAAAGCUCGUAGUUGAAUUUCGAGAUCAAUUUGUCGGUCGUGCCUCGGUACGUACUGGCAUUAUUGAUUUCUCCCUUCUGAAGAACCGCGAUGUCAUUAAUUUGGUGUCGUGGGGAAUCAGGACUGUUACUUUGAAAAAGUUAGAGUGUUUAAAGCAGGCGCACGCUUGAAUACAUUAGCAUGGAAUAAUGAAAUAGGACGUUUGAUUCUAUUUUGUUGGUUUCUAGGAUCGACGUAAUGAUUAAUAGGGAUAGUUGGGGGCAUUAGUAUUCAAUUGUCAGAGGUGAAAUUCUUGGAUUUAUUGAAGACUGACUACUGCGAAAGCAUUUGCCAAGGAUGUUUUCAUUAAUCAAGAACGAAAGUUAGGGGAUCGAAGACGAUCAGAUACCGUCGUAGUCUUAACCAUAAACUAUGCCGACUAGGGAUCGGAUGAUGUUAAUUUUUUAAUGACUCAUUCGGCGCCUUACGGGAAAC
rnacentral:rRNA from 1 species